rnacentral:rRNA from 1 species
CGGUUGAUCCUGCCGGAGGUCGCUGCUAUCGGCGUCCGACUAAGCCAUGCAAGCCCAGGCCCUCCUUGUGAGGACCGGCGGACUGCUCAGUAACACGUCACUAACCUGCCCAGGGGUCCGGGAUAACCUCGGGAAACUGAGGAUAAUACCGGAUAGGGAAUGGGUACUGGGAUGUCCCAUUCCUGAAAGCUUCGGCGCCCCUGGAUGGGGUGGCGGCCGAUUAGGUUGUUGGUGGGGUAAAGGCCCACCAAGCCGACGAUCGGUACGGGCUAUGAGAGUGGGAGCCCGGAGAAGGGUACUGAGAUACGGACCCUAGCCCUACGGGGUGCAGCAGGCGCGAAACCUCUGCAAUGCCUGAAAGGGUGACAGGGGGACGCCGAGUGCUCACGCUUUCGCGUGGGCUUUUACCGAUGGUAAGCACAUCGGCGAAUAAGGGGUGGGCAAGACCGGUGCCAGCCGCCGCGGUAACACCGGCGCCCCGAGUGGGGACCGCUCUUAUUGGGCCUAAAGCAUCCGUAGCCGGCCCGGUAAAUCUUCUGUGAAAUCGGCCAGCUCAACUGGUCGGCGUGCAGAAGACACUGCCGGGCUAGGGACCGGGAGACGCUGGAGGUAUUCCCCGGGUACCGGUAAAAUGGGAUAAUCCGGGGAGGACCACCUGUGGCGAAGGCGUCCAGCGGGAACGGGUCCGACGGUGAGGGAUGAAAGCCAGGGGAGCAAAUGGGAUUAGAUACCCCAGUAGUCCUGGCCGUAAACUCUGAGAGGUAGGUGUUGCAUGUCCCACGAGGGCAUGCAGCAUCGAAGGGAAGCCGUAGACCUCUCCGCCUGGGAAGUACGGUCGCAAGGCUGAAACUUAAAGGAAUUGGCGGGGGAGCAC